ACCUAGCUGGCGCAGUUGAUAGAGCAUGGAGCUCUUGAUCUCAAAGUUGUGGGUUUGAGCCCUAUGUUGGGUG
rnacentral:tRNA from 1 species